CCCGAACCCUCCGUCCAACGAAGUAUGUCUCAACUUUAACUAAAUUUGAAUGCAUUUAUACAGUCAUGUUUAAAUACAUUCAAAUUUUGACAAACUUGAGACAUACUUUGUUGGACGGAGAGAGUAUAUU
rfam:Brachypodium distachyon strain Bd21 chromosome 2, whole genome shotgun sequence.